AUUGAACGCUGGCGGCAUGCCUUACACAUGCAAGUCGAACGGUAACAGGCCGCAAGGUGCUGACGAGUGGCGAACGGGUGAGUAAUGCAUCGGAACGUGCCCAGUCGUGGGGGAUAACGCAGCGAAAGCUGCGCUAAUACCGCAUACGAUCUAUGGAUGAAAGCGGGGGACCGUAAGGCCUCGCGCGAUUGAAGCGGCCGAUGUCAGAUUAGGUAGUUGGUGGGGUAAAGGCUCACCAAGCCGACGAUCUGUAGCUGGUCUGAGAGGACGACCAGCCACACUGGGACUGGGACACGGCCCAGACUCCUACGGGAGGCAGCAGUGGGGAAUUUUGGACAAUGGGGGCAACCCUGAUCCAGCAAUGCCGCGUGCAGGAAGAAGGCCUUCGGGUUGUAAACUGCUUUUGUACGGAACGAAACGGCUCUGGUUAAUACCCGGGGCUAAUGACGGUACCGUAAGAAUAAGCACCGGCUAACUACGUGCCAGCAGCCGCCGUAA
rnacentral:rRNA from 1 species